rnacentral:rRNA from 1 species
GAUUUCUGACAUUAAUGCGCUUGGCCCGCCACGGUUACGUGUGUGAGUGCCGAGUCGUGUUUGUCAUCCUUCUAGCGCAUGGCAGUUUGCUCUUCACUGAGUAGAUUGUCAUUCUCGUGCUAGAUCUUUUACUUUGAAAAAAUUAGAGUGUUUAAAGCAGGCGUUUGCUAUGAAUACAUUAGCAUGGAAUAAUAAUUUAGGACUUUGGUUCUAUUUUGUUGGUUUCUAGAACUGAAGUAAUGAUUGAUAGGGAUGGUUGGGGGUGCUCGUAUUCAGUGGCCAGAGGUGAAAUUCUUGGAUUCACUGAAGACGAACUUAUGCGAAAGCAUU